GGAUCUGAAGACAAUCUGGCCUUAACAUUUGUUCCCUCGGUGACUGCCAAGAGUAAUUGGGCUUAUUCGAUGGGUUGUACAAAUGUCCCUUCCUCCAUCUCUACUCCAUCUGUAAUCUCUUCCAUCUCCACUUCAAAGCUACUACAGUCCAUCCAAAGCUAUAUACUUAGUGCAGAGAUGCACCUUUCCUAAAGUGACAAUGUUGUAUUUGCCAAAUUUGGUCAAAGGAAAUCUUAUUAGUUAUACUUCCCCAGUACACAAAGUAAUAAUUGAAGUGGUAAGAAACAUGACCCACCCUUCCUAUCUACCAGUACCAGCU
rnacentral:snRNA from 1 species